UACGGAGGGUGCAAGCGUUAUCCGGAUUUACUGGGCUUAAAGGGUGCGUAGGCGGGUAGGAAAGUCAGUGGUGAAAUCUUCGGGCUUAACCCGGAAACUGCCAUUGAUACUAUUUAUCUUGAAUACUUUGGAGGUAAGCGGAAUAUGUCAUGUAGCGGUGAAAUGCUUAGAUAUGACAUAGAACACCAAUUGCGAAGGCAGCUUACUACACAGUUAUUGACACUGAGGCACGAAAGCGUGGGGAUCAAACAGG
rnacentral:rRNA from 1 species